rnacentral:rRNA from 1 species
GCCCGUUGGCGGGCGUGCCUAAUACAUGCAAGUCGAGCGGACGGAUGGGAGCUUGCUCCCUGAAGUCAGCGGCGGACGGGUGAGUAACACGUGGGCAACCUGCCUGUAAGACUGGGAUAACUCCGGGAAACCGGGGCUAAUACCGGAUAACUCUUUUCCUCACAUGAGGAAAAGCUGAAAGAUGGUUUCGGCUAUCACUUACAGAUGGGCCCGCGGCGCAUUAGCUAGUUGGUGAGGUAACGGCUCACCAAGGCCACGAUGCGUAGCCGACCUGAGAGGGUGAUCGGCCACACUGGGACUGAGACACGGCCCAGACUCCUACGGGAGGCAGCAGUAGGGAAUCUUCCGCAAUGGACGAAAGUCUGACGGAGCAACGCCGCGUGAGUGAUGAAGGUUUUCGGAUCGUAAAACUCUGUUGUCAGGGAAGAACAAGUACCGGAGUAACUGCCGGUACCUUGACGGUACCUGACCAGAAAGCCACGGCUAACUACGUGCCAGCAGCCGCGGUAAU